UCUGAGUCAGCAGUACUUAUUCUAAAAUUUCCCACUAGAGAUAAAAGCUGGUUUAAAAUCCGUUGCCUGGGACCAUCCUCACCUGAACAGAACUUUACAGGAUGUAUACAGUGUCAAAAUUGGAAGACACUUAUUGGGUAGCUGUUGUAAAAUAAUAAUAAGAGGUUCAAAAGUAAAUUGGUACUUUUCCUUUCUUCCUACAGGGUUACAAAGUGUCCACUGAAAGAUUACCUAAUUCAACAGCCAACAUUAUGGAAAUGUCGUGCAAAAUGAGGAACUUUUUUCAAGACGGGUGGAAGAAGAGCGACUUUAGGAGAACCUGGACUGGAUGGAGAGUCUGGGACAUCCUCUGUGGAAACAAAAGACACCCAUCAAACUGGAUUCCUAAAGCAUAAGCUGGGGAGUCGGGUGUUUUGAUCUCCUCCAUCCGAUCAGCACUGCCGUUGUGCUCGGCUGGCUUCGUGUCCUUCCUGGGGGCAUCCACAGCU